GCAUGUGGUUUAAUUCGAUGCAACGCGAAGAACCUUACCUACUCUUGACAUCCAGCGAAUCCUUUAGAGAUAGAGGAGUGCNUUCGGGAACGCUGAGACAGGUGCUGCAUGGCUGUCGUCAGCUCGUGUUGUGAAAUGUUGGGUUAAGUCCCGCAACGAGCGCAACCCUUAUCCUUUGUUGCCAGCACGUAAUGGUGGGAACUCAAAGGAGACUGCCGGUGAUAAACCGGAGGAAGGUGGGGAUGACGUCAAGUCAUCAUGGCCCUUACGAGUAGGGCUACACACGUGCUACAAUGGCAGAUACAAAGAGAAGCGACCUCGCGAGAGCAAGCGGAACUCAUAAAGUCUGUCGUAGUCCGGAUUGGAGUCUGCAACUCGACUCCAUGAAGUCGGAAUCGCUAGUAAUCGUAGAUCAGAAUGCUACGGUGAAUACGUUCCCGGGCCUUGUACACACCGCCCGUCACACCAUGGGAGUGGGUUGCAAAAGAAGUAGGUAGCUUAACCUUCGGGAGGGCGCUUACCACUUUGUGAUUCAUGACUGGGGUGAAGUCGUAACAAGGUAACCAAGGGCGAAUUCGCGGCC
rnacentral:rRNA from 1 species